rnacentral:rRNA from 1 species
UACGUAGGGGGCAAGCGUUGUCCGGAAUCAUUGGGCGUAAAGAGCGUGUAGGUGGCUCGGUAAGUCCGCUGUAAAAGUCCAGGGCUCAACCCUGGAAAGCCGGUGGAAACUGUCGAGCUAGAGUCCGGAAGAGGCGAGUGGAAUUCCUGGUGUAGCGGUGAAAUGCGCAGAUAUCAGGAGGAACACCAAUGGCGAAGGCAGCUCGCCGGGACGGUACUGACACUGAGACGCGAAAGCGUGGGGAGCAAACAGG